rnacentral:lncRNA from 1 species
CGUUUUCUUAUGGAGAAAACAAAGUGCUGGCUUUUAAUUUGCGCACAGACACAGUAGUGAAGCCAUACCGUGCUUUGUCCAAACAAGUUGAAGCGGCGCUUCAUAGUUAUCCGAUACUCGCAUUAGUUGAUUGAUUCCAUUAAGCACAUCAUUUUAAGGAUAUAUGCUUUCAAUAUACUGGUUUUCUCUGUCCAACCAAUCUUCAGAUAGUUAGAUUACUAAUCA